rnacentral:rRNA from 1 species
UACGGGGGGGGCAAGCGUUGUUCGGAAUUACUGGGCGUAAAGGGCUCGUAGGCGGCCAACUAAGUCAGACGUGAAAUCCCUCGGCUUAACCGGGGAACUGCGUCUGAUACUGGAUGGCUUGAGAUUGGGAGAGGGAUGCGGAAUUCCAGGUGUAGCGGUGAAAUGCGCAGAUAUCAGGAGGAACACCGAUGGCGAAGGCAGGUCUCUGGGCCGCCACUGACGCUGAGGAGCGAAAGCAUGGGGAGCGAACAGG